rnacentral:tRNA from 1 species
GACCGCGUAGCUCAGUUGGAAGAGCAUUGGGCUAGUGUUUCAAAUGUCGUAGGUUCGAAUCCCACCGUGGCCA